CUUGGAAGAGCUGGGGCAGAGAGAGAAACAACAGCUUCUUUGUCUGGUUCUCUCAGAAGCCAACUCUGAGGCAAGGAUUCCUAGGAAAGACUAUCUUAAGAGUGAGAGGUGGAAUUUUAUUAUCUAUGGAGGAAGGAAUCUUCCUAGUGACUGAGUCCUGUCUUCUUCCUUCAAUGAGAAAGACAGCUGUGAUUGAUUAGUGAUGUCUGCCUUGGCCCAGGAUGGGAGACAACAGUACCUAUACUGCACAUUGUACAUCCCUGACCUCAGGAAACCUCAGCAGUCAGAAGGAGUUCAAGCAAUGUGGGACUGCUCUAUUUGCUCCCUUGACUGUGAGUGAUUUAAAGAUACUGGGUCUUGCUCCUUCACCCAAACUGGAGUGCAGUGGCACGAUCGAUCACAGCUCACCGCAGCCUUGAACUCCUAGGGCUGACACCAUCCUCCCGCCUGAGCCUCCUGAGUGGCUGGAACUACAGGAGUGCACCACCAUGCACCUAAUUGGGUCUCAGAGAUACAGAAUUGCACAGAGAGAGUCCCAGUCCACAGAGAAGGUGAAAACAUAAAUGAUCUCGAGUGUUGCUGACUCUCACAUCCAACAGAGCAUCCAACAGAGGCUCACACAGGUGGCCAUCUGACCAAAGCCAGCCCUCUGUAAGUUGACUUAGCCUAUGUAGCAUUUUAAAAAAUAUCUUCAUUGGUCUCUGAAAUUUAAAAGUUGAGAUAUUUCACAUUAAAAAAAAAAAACAAAAAAAAACACAAGAUUGCUGGUGUAGAAGAGAAAAGUGUCCUUCAUUUUGCCAUGUGCUGGCCUCACUUUUUAUUGUACAUUUCUGGCCAGUCUCCUGGGGGGCACUUGAGUUUGCAACUCCCAUGUGUACAGGGCUCUGGGGUUCGGGAGGGAGAAACAUAAGCAUGUAGGCCAAAGACUCAGUGAAAGCCCCAGUUUUGGGAGGAUUUUCUGGUCUUGCUUGGAGAAAGAUGACUCACGAGGCCAGCAUGUGUCUCUUGCCGAGCCAGGUUUCCUUUCCUACUUUGUUUUUAUAAAGCAGAAAUAGAAGUUUCCAUAACGUGGUGCAACUCCACCCAGCAGGCCUUGGGAAGCCGCUGCUAUCUGUGAGCGUCCAAGGGAGAGCUUUGGUUGGGAGCCUGCUAUUGCUCAUGGAGCUGUGAGCACAGCGGGACAGCAUGUGCUCGUCUCCACUGUUGGCUCUGCCUGAAGAUGGGGACUCCGUACUGCGUUCCUCCUUGGGUGAGACUGUCAAAGAGCUGGGUCCCUCAGGCCACAAAAGAGUGGGGGACUCCCAGCUCUACCAGCCCAGGUGGACCAUGCUGCCCAGGGUCCUUGGAUAUCCUCUGAGUCUGACUGGUGGGGUCACUACAAUUUGGUGCCAUGUCCCCAGAUGCCCUGCAGAGACAAUCAAUGGAAAUCCUGUGUUCUGAGUAUCAGGUUGCUCAUGAGUCUCCAGUCCUCCACACUGAAACUGACCUCCAAUCACAAGAAAAUACUGUCCCUGGCCCGUAAGUUGCCUUAUGAGGCCAGCUCACCUUCCCACGGGCCCUCUGCCUCCAGGAAAGCCAUUUACAGCUCUAAUGCCUUCCAGCCAGGUAGGAAUGGGGCUCACUGGCCCCUGGUGGUGGCCAUAACUUUGUAAUUGAAUGACAUCUGGGACUACCAGUCCCCAUAAAGAGAAACCAGAGGAAUGUGGUAAAUUUUUCACAAGACUGUGGGGACUCCCACUGUGGCUGGGCCAGGAAUCCAGGCCACUUCACACAAGCCUCUUUCUGUGGCUGCCCUGAGCCAGCUUCUGGAUGAGGAGCCAGCCAGCCCCGGGUUCAGAUCCUGCCUCUGCCUGCUGGGACCUUGGCAGUGUGCCAUGACCUCUCCCUGCCUCGGUCUUCUCUGUAAACUGGGUGUACUGCUCCCCUUGCAGAGUUCUUGGGAUGAUCAGGCCUUUCUUAGUGCAGACGGAGAAAUUCUGUCAUUUUAAAGCCUUGAAGAAGUCAGGCUAUGAUUGAUUGGAGACACAGAGGGAGAUGAGAUGGGGACAAUGCAAGGGACCAGAUCAAACCUCAGCAGGGGGAUCUCCAAACAUUUCUUCCCGAUUCCAGCAGGAUGGCGUAGUUAGGCCUGUGGCCAGGCUUCUUUGCAUCAUCUCUGGACAGCUCAGGAAGAGGCUAUGGGAUUUACCAAGUAGAUUACAUGGCACUUAGCUAAUGAAAUGACACCCCCGCCCUCCCCAGAUAUUGAUCAGCCACUGGCAACCGUGGAGCUUGCAGCAGCCUCCAGACAGCUUUAAAAGAAAAUCAACCAUUAAUAAAAUUGAAUGGUUUGGGGGAGCAGGAUGCCGGGGCAGUGGUUGGGGGUGGUUCUAGAGGAGAGAGAUUCAGAAGAAGUUAGCAGACAAGGAGGACUACAGGAAGAAAAUGUGCCCUUCUGACCCCAAACCAGAAUAGUAGAUGUAUGAGAGAUUUUGCAAUUAACCAGGUCCAUGAGAAAAUGCCUAGCGUACAAGUAUCAAGUGAGAAGGGUAUGUCUGCAGGAUGCAGACGGCAGAGGUUGCAAACUCAGGGCAACCCCGCAAUGUGUCUCUUUGCUCCAUGUAUGCUUUAUUUACAAGGAAUUUGCUGCCAAUAUCUUUAAAAAGUUGGAGUUUUUAUAUAAAAAUCUAGAUUUCUGGAGUUCCAAUUUUUGUAAAAUUGGAACAUGGGAUGACAUUGGGCUUGCAUUCUUUGUGGCAGCAGUUGAGCUGAGCAGUAACAGCUGCCCCUGUGGAUGGGGCAUGUGGAGUCCAGCUUGCCCAGCCCCCACCUGGCCCCCACACUCAUUCCUGUAACCUGCCAGGGCUUAUGAGUUUGAGACCUUGAUGCAAAGUCUGAACUGAAGUAUGCAAUAAUGUUUACAUAUGAGUGGAGGACGUGUGUGUGUGUGUGAAUGAUACACACACACAUACACAGUGACUAUAUCUCUAUCUACCUAUCUAUCUAUCUAUCUAUCUAUCUAUCUAUCUAUCAUCAUCUAUCAUCUGCCAAAACAGUGACAGUGACUACCUUUCCCUAGGUAGGACUUUAUCUUCUUACCCAUUCGUACUUUCCAUUCUCAUCAAUAAAAAACAAUAGACUUGGCUUUGGGAAAAAGAAUGAAUCUGUGCAGAGCUGAGUAUUCUGUAGGAUCACGGAUCAUAGCAACGGCGAUUGUACCAAGAAGGAAAUGUAGAAAAUGCCAAACCGUGUUUUUCUCCAAAUAGGGAAAUUGUGAACCAGUUAGAAUGUCGCCUUUCUUGCUUUUCUGCAAUAAAUCUCUUUCAUAUUUCUAAUCGAAAAACUAAAACCCAGGUAUGUGCAACUUAAAAGUAAAUCAGGAUUAACUCCUCUUAACAGAGGGGCAACGGUGCAAGAAGGAGGCUUAUCCGGGGAGGGACCUUGAACAUAGUGGGGGGCUUUGUCAGGCCUGCCCUGGCCUCUUCCUCUAGGGUGGUGACCUGGAAUCUUGUUCAGGAGUGAUAUGGUUUGCCUCUGUGUCCCCACCCAAGUCUCACCUCCAAUUGUAAUCCCCAUAAUCCCCACGUGUCGAGGGAGGCACCUGGUGAGAGGUGAUUGGAUCAUGGGGGCAGUUUCCCCUAUACUGUUCUCGUGAUAGUGAAUGAGUUCUCACAAGAUCUGAUGGUUUUAGAGGUGUUUAACUGUUCCUCCUUCACACUCUCUCUCGCCUGACGCCAUGUAAGACAUGCCUGCUUCCCCUUCCACCAUGAUUGUAACUUUCCUGAGGCUUCCCCAGCCAUGCAGAACUGUGAGGCAAUUAAACCUCCUUUGUUUAUAAAUUACCCAGUCUCGGACAGUUCUUUAUAGCAAUGUGAAAACAAACUAAUACAAAGAGCAAGCACCGUUUGAUGGCUGCAGUCUGUCAUUCCAUCCCUGGACCUCAGAUCCCCAUCUAUGAAAAGGAGAGAUUCUUAUAGGGAAAAGCUGGGGGCAAUGUCUAGCUCUUUUUGUAAGCCUCUACGAGCCAAACACCAACUGGCAUGUUUUCACAAGUGUGUUAGUUGAAAAGCCUAGAGGUUCAU
rnacentral:lncRNA from 1 species